rnacentral:rRNA from 1 species
GGGGAAAUCGGGCCCUACUUCCCCACUUCCUGUGGGGUUAGGCAGGGUGACCCCUUUCCCCCGUUUCUGUUCAAUAUGGUGGUUGAUGCCUUGGCCUCGAUCCUGGAUAAGGCCAAGGCCGCCGGCCACAUACUAGGCAUUACCCCGCACUUGGUGGAGGGGGGAGGCGUCUCCCUUCUCCAAUACGCUGAUGACACCAUCAUCAUGGUCCAAGGCUCGGCGCCUGAGAUCUCGAACCUCAAAUUCCUCCUGCUGUGUUUUCAGCACCUCUCAGGCCUCAGAAUAAAUUUUGAUAAAAGCGAGGUGAUGAUUAUGGGCUAUUCGCCCGAUGAGAGCCAGAGCAUCGCUAACCGGCUUAACUGUCGGUUGGGGACAUUCCCCACUACCUACCUGGGGGUCCCCAUUAGUGACUCCCGCCUGACCGUGGCCGACCUACGGCCCUCGGUGCUCAAGCUC